rnacentral:lncRNA from 1 species
AUGAAGGUAUUCAAACAGUCGGAGCUUCUUCCUGCCUUUUCCUCCCUUUUGCUGGAGAAGAACAGGUUGUACCAGCUGGUUUUUGGGGACGUUCUCCAGAGAUUGAUGAAUAUUUCCUUCAAAAUAGAGGUCUGCAGCACUGUUCUGAGGAGUACUGAAAGUCUCCAGGUGAAUGCUGCCUCAGUACUUCAAAGGCAUCUUCAAAUGCUUGACCCAGCUUGUCUUGUUCAGCACAAGCCAUGCUUCAUUAAAAAAUUGACAAUUCUGUCCAUCAGAGGCCAAUGCAACGUUUAUAAGUGCUCCAGGUGGAAACAACUUUCCCCUCUGACGCACAGGUCUGCAACACUCUCCGCACUUAACCAUUUUAAAACUGUACAAUUUAGUGACAUCAGUGCACUCACAGUGUUGUGCAAGCACUCCCUUGGAUUGUAUCUGUCAAGGAUUAUAAAGGGGAUAGAAUGACAGGUUGAUUGAGGCCAUGUGUCCAUCUACUGCCCAUGUCUCUUGGAGAAAUCAAUGAGGCAAAGCACUUGUAACAGCUAGUAGAAAGAUUCCAUCUAUAUUAAAUAUAAGUAUGAAUUAUUACAGCUACUUUAAAUAUUUAUAAAAUGGAGUACAUUAAAAAAAAUAUUUAUUUGGCUGCAGCGGGUCUUAGUCAUGGCAUGAGUGAUCCUUUAGUUCAGACAUGUGUGAUCUUUUAGUUCAGGCACGCAGCAUGCAAACUCUUAGUUGGGACAUGUGGGAUCUACUCCCCUAACUGGGGAUGGAACCCAGGCCCCCUGCAUUGAGGGCAUGGACACUUAGCCCCUGGACCACCAGGGAAGUCCCACAGUGAGUGAAUUUUACUAUUUAUGUAUGGUAAAUUCAGGGGAUACAACUUAUAAUAAGUAGAUUAUUUAGCUUAUUUAACUAAUAUGCAGAGUACAUCAUGUGAAAUGCCAGGCUGGAUGAAGCACAAUCUGGAAUCAAGAUUGCUGGGAGAAAUAAUCAAGAGCCUCAGAUACGCAGAUGACACCACCCUUAUGGCAGAAAGCGAAGAACAACUAAAGAGCCUCUUGAUUCAAAGAGAGAGGAAAGUGAAAAAGUUGGCUUAAAACU